UGGGGAAUAUUGGACAAUGGGGGCAACCCUGAUCCAGCCAUGCCGCGUGAGUGAUGAAGGCCUUAGGGUUGUAAAGCUCUUUCAACGGUGAAGAUAAUGACGGUAACCGUAGAAGAAGCCCCGGCUAACUUCGUGCCAGCAGCCGCGGUAAUACGAAGGGGGCUAGCGUUGUUCGGAAUCACUGGGCGUAAAGCGCGCGUAGGCGGAUUGUUAAGUUAGAGGUGAAAUCCCGGAGCUCAACUCCGGAACUGCCUUUAAUACUGGCAAUCUAGAGAUCGAGAGAGGUGAGUGGAAUUCCUAGUGUAGAGGUGAAAUUCGUAGAUAUUAGGAAGAACACCAGUGGCGAAGGCGGCUCACUGGCUCGAUACUGACGCUGAGGUGCGAAAGCGUGGGGAGCAAACAGGAUUAGAUACCCCCGUAGUCC
rnacentral:rRNA from 1 species